GUACAGCAACCUUUUAUGGUCCCCCAUAUGUCCCAACUUCAUGCUAUGGAUACGAUCAGAGGCAAUUUCCAGCAGGCAAUCUUUUUGGAGCGGCUAAUGACGCAAUUUGGGACAACCAGGCUGCCUGUGGAAGGAAGUACAGAAUAAGAUGUUUGAGCGGAACGAGUAAUGAAAGAGUUAAUCCAUGCAGAGAAAGAUCACUUGUCAUAAAGAUUCUGGAUUACUGCUCUUCCUCUGCCUGUGAUAAUGGCGAUGCAACUUUCCAUUUAUCUGCCGAUGCGUUUUCUCACAUUGCUCAUUCCUCUGCCAACAAAAUUAACGUCGAAUAUGAGCAAGUGUGACGCAUCAGACUUGGUCCAGAGGUUCCAAAGAUUAGAAAUAUUACGAUUACUACGUUUUUAUAAUGUCGUUCUACAUUAUUUU